UCUCUUCCAUUCAUGCAUUUAUUCAACAAACAUUUGUUGAGUAUCUGCUAUGUGCCAGGCACUGUGUUAGGUGCAGAAACAACCCAGAUCCCUCCCCCUUCUAGAGCAAACACCUUUGUGGGAAAGACCAGCAGUAAUCAAAUCAUCACAUGCAAAAAUGUAAAAUCACAGCUAUGCCCAGGAGAGGCACACAAAUGGUUGUACCAGCUGGAUUUAACAUUACACAUGGCCUCAGCGUCUUUAUCUGUAAAAUGGAGUCUCCUCACUUGCCCUAGCUCCUUCCCACCUGCACAGCUCACACUGGAAAUUAACAGAGAACAGAUUUUUAAAACAUAAAAAUGAUUAUCCAAAUGCUGGGCUUAUCUUGACUCUGAUAGUCAAUCAAUAAAUAUUUGUAGAAUUGAAUUGCUAAAUUGAAUUAUUCUACAAAAAUAAAGCAAGGAUUAACAAGAAUCCCCACCACCAAUCCAGUGUUCAUUUAAUUUUCCUGUUUGUGCAGAUAAGACACAGGCUGGGUUUGCUGGAUUUAAACAAAAACCAGCAGAAAGACUGCUUUCCACAGAUCCCUGGAAUGUCAGAGUUGGAGGGAGCUCAGAUAUUACCACAUCAUAUCUUCCCCAACUUCACAGAAUGGGAAAAAGUUAUUCAAGGUCACAUGUGGGAAAAGUGAUAGAGCCAAAGCCAGGACACAGAUGAUAGAUUAACAACAACAACAAAAAAGGACAUGUUUUGGGUGCCUAGACAUGCCUAGGCUGUUAUUCUCUAUGGUAAAAAUCCCGACAUUGGAAACAUCUUCCAUUUAUUAAUUAAGGCUCUACUACAGGAUGAUUCCCAGGAAUAUUCCUCCAAGGGCCACAGCCAAGAGCAAAUGUCUAUGUACAUUCAGUAGACAAUGAUUGAUUUCACCACUUUCUGUUCUGCUAAAAGCAUCCGCAUUUCUCUUUGGGGGGUCACCCUCUUCCUUCCCACUCUGAAUCCAUGAGGUUUAGGUACCAAUUGAAUCUAUUUGCUUCCAAGCGAGGUAAGCACAUGUCUGGCAAUCAGCUUGUUCCAUCUCCCUGGUCAUAGUGAUUGGUUCAGGGAAGGACAUGCAACUCAAGAUGAUCCAAUGAGAGUCAGCCCUGGGACUUUGGCUGAAACUAUUGGGAAAGAGACACUGUAUUUCCAUUGGUUUUGUUAUGCUGGUAAGAUGUUAUUCUGGAGCUGCUGGCAGGUAUCUUGCUACUGGGCUAGAGAGCCUUUCUCUUAAUGAGUCCACACAAUGAUGGGGAGGGAAAUAAGUGCUGAGGAGCCACUGAGUCUUGACUGAAUAUGUUUUUCUGGACUUGUAGAUGCAGCCAUUCCUGAAAUUAAAUCCUCUACACUUUUCAUUGUCAUAGGGGGCAAUAAAUUCCCUAUAACUGGUUUACCGAAUGGCAGAGACAGCCAGCAGAGAUUUGUGGAGUUUUCACUGGGAAGCAAUUUCCCAGUUAAGGACAAUAUUUUUCAGCAUCCUUACAACUAGGUGGUACCAGGCAACUGAGUUCUGGACAAUGCAAUUGGAGGCAGAAGUGAAGUAUAGCGCUUCCACCAAAACCUUCCCUGCAAUAUUUCACACUCUUUUCUUCCAUCCACUGAUUAAAUGUCAAAACAUCUAGGAUGAUCUUGGGAGUCACAUACUGAAAAUGACAUUGGAAGUUGGUGUCCACUGCCAUUUAGACUGAGGUAAAUGAAAAGUAAACUUCCUAUAUGUUAAGCCACCAAAAUUCCGAAGCCUCUUCGUAAUAACAGCUACCAUUAUCUUCCUUAAUUCAGCUAUUGUUUCAAUCAGGGCUUUUAGUCAUAAACAGUAAAAAUCACCUCUGGCUAACUUAAACUGAGAAGGAAUGCAUUAAAAGGAUAGUAAAUGCUCAUAGACACUCCACGAGGGCAGGAGAGCUAGGACUGGGACUACAUGGCUCAGAACAAUGCCAGACUUAUGCCAUCAAACUGGAAUGGGGGGACACCAUUGAAGGUGACACUGAGCACUCAUAUCUCACCUUGCUCAUUGGCACCCCUGAUGAUGCUGCUGGGGUUGAAUAUAGCUACCACCACGGUCACUGUCUUUUGUGGAAUGGAUUCCACAAAGUCCCUGCUUCUCCAUGUCUUUCGGAAAGUCUAGGGCAGUUAUAUCUUUACCGAUGGAGGCUUAGGUCAUGGAACCAUACUCUAGCUGCAAUGGAGGCUGGGAAAGUGAACAAAGGGCAUUUUCCCAUUACUACAGUGGAAGACAGGAUUUGCUUCAAAAAGUGGGAAAUUUUCCAAACAUGAGAAGGGAGUUCAAACAUAGGACAGCCUAAAGGAUUGACAAAUGUAUGCUACAGUCACUGUGAGAUGGGCUUCUAUCCCUGAAAGAAACUGACUGAUAAUGUGUACUGUUAACAUGCUUCAAAUUUUAUGCAAAACAGAAAAUAGACAUGUUCUAGAGAUUGUGCUAAGCACUUGACAUAUGUUAUCUCAGGUAAUCCUCACAAUGACUCCAAGAGGGUAGAAACUAUUAUCCCCAAUUAGCAAAUGAAGAAACUGAGUCCUGAAGAAAAAAUUUAUUUGUGUGAAUUCAUGUAGCAGGGAUAUGAUGAAAUCUUGUAACACAAAAGACAAGGGAUCAUGUGAUAGUUUCCUAUAUAGUGAGGUUCCUGGGUUGAAACCACACCAGGAUUUAGAUGAAUUUGAAAACUGGGUGGUGGGUCUAAGAGUUCCAUGGCUUCCUGAGAGCGCCUAUCCUGAUAAAGAGAUUCAAGUAGGACCAGCUCGAUCAAGGAAUAAAACCUUGGUUAUAGGGUAUUAAGGAAGGAAUUAAGAUUCUGAAUAUGAUGACGGGAGCAGUUUGUCCCUGACAUGUCUACUGGAAAGCCUUGCGCACUAGCAUCAGAGUCCCGACAGCAAGAGAGCUGAAGGUGAAAAUUGCAAAGGAUAUUUCACUCCAGACUGUACUCAAGAUGUUGGAGAACUUGUCAUUGCUUUGGGACUCCUCUGGCAGGUGUAGCUCAGGGUGGGAGAGGCCUUCUCCCUCACUUCUUUGCAGAUCACCAUGAAGCUCUGCAGAGCAAGGCUCCAAUGCAUUGUCGGUGGUGCCCAGAGCAGCGGUCACACCCAACUAGAAAAGACUUGUUUGUGAGCACACAUGAGACUUCCCCUGAGAACUCUCUGAAAUACUUGGAGAGGGAGAGAUUUACAGGAAUGGGGAGGCCGUGUGGCAGCAGGUGGGGUCAAGAGCCAGUGGAGCUCAACAUCUCAAUGUCAAUGUGAACAUCAGUGGUACUCUCAAACCAAGUCAAGGGCAAAUAUGCUGGGCAUCUUCAUUUGCUGCUCAAAUCCUCUCUCCACCCUUUCCUGCUCAGCUCUGCGCCCCUUCACAUAAAUGAACUGGAGAACUGGGAUCCCAUGCCUUUUGGCUUCUAGCUGGACUCAACCGAUGGGCAGCACUAGCAGACCUGUCCCCUAGAGUUGUCAUGGACAUGACCACAUCCCUGCCCCCACCAGGAUCACCAAGGUCCUGCCAGCUGCCCUCUUCACACAGCUCUCUGCCUCCAGCAUCUAGCAACUGUACUCUUCCUUCACUGUGUUAGGUCUAGGAGAGGUCGUCGUUCAAUGCUAUUCUGAGCCCUGUGUGCUGCUCCAUUCCAGGUGGGCCCAUUCCUCUGUAAAGAGCCCCUGUAUUAAACUAUCUUAGUUGCCCAGUCCGAGUGUGCCAUUGGUUUCAGCCAAGACUCUGACUGAUAGAAGGAAAUGUGAAUCCCACUAAGAGAUCGUGAUUUUGAGCAAUAUCAUUUUCCAUCGUGUUUUCUGUCUAUUUUUUCAGGCAGUCAAACACACCUGUGCCAGAACUUUUGUGGGUUUUUUGUAGACCCCUGGCACCUGGUAAUCUUGUUGCAGUACUCUGGCUACUUUUGGGCUCUGUCCAGUUGGCCUUAGAUCUGUCAUUGUUGGGGAAAAUGCCACAAACCAAAUGACUGAGGGAAAACGUCAUGGAAACAACCACUCCAGGGGCUAAAAAAUAGCCUGAGACACCAAACCCUUAAAGGCACCAAGAUGAUGAGAGGGCCAGAGCUGAGCCAUGAUUGGAUUCAGGUUUGGAAGGGCUUCUUGACAUACCUGGGGCUGUAGAUGCCUGAACACCCACAUGGAAGAGGGUCACUCACUGUUUCUCCCAUUGGUCAUUCUUCAUUCAACCCAAUAGCAAAUGGCCCAGGCUCAGACAAGUGAGAGGCAGUGUCUCAUCCUACCCUGGUCCUGCGCUGCAGUUCUGUGGUCUGGGGCCCUCUCUGGUGAGUCCAGGUGGUCCAGGGACCUCAGGCCGGUGGUAAAGGAGUCAGCUGAGACUGUUCACCGUGCCCCCCAUCCCAUUCAGAGAGAAGGGGUUGUGAGUGUGCUUCCCAAUCAAUGGACUCACAUUCACCGGGACUAUUUUUAGGACAGCAAAUAACCUGAUCCAGGCUCACAGAGGAGCCUGGGUCUCCAGGCCCACUAGAGACCAGCACCCACUCCCCUAGCAAAAGCCAGGAGCCCAGGCCAGCUGUCCCUCCCCAUCUCAUCUCCAAUUCUGGCCAAAUUUCUCCCCUAAGGAUAUCCUGAUCCUCCAUAUUGCUGUCUGGGGUGCCCAAUUUGGGGACUACUAACUUCCAGAGAAAGCAUCCAAGACAGGAGUCACUACCACCAGGCCCCACCUAUGAGUGGGUGCUCCCAUAAAACUCAAAGGUCUUUAUGAUUUGAGUCAUGCCUUUAAAGUAGAGGUCAGUUCCUCAAGGAAAAAUCCUAAACUUCUGCCCACUCAAGGAUAUUUACCCACCAGUUGUGUCAGUGAAGCAAGGAUGGGGGUUACAGCAAGAGAGAUAUCAUCUGAAAGGCAGAGAGAGCUUAAUUUGGACUAAUGGCCAUUCCCAAGGGCCACCUUGUACAGCUGUGCAAGUUGCAUUGCACAACUGCAGGGGGCGCCACUUACUGCAUGGUUAACCUAGAUUGCUACAGUUUUUAUGCCUUUGCUUUCUGGCAGAUGGCUGUAAGUGAACUGAGGGAGGGGCAUCUGUCUCUAAUUCACCCAUUUCAGUGGGACCCAGGCCAACUCCUGAGACACCAGAUCAGAGACUUAGAAAUACAGUGGUGGAAAUUGUUCCUUUCUCCAUUCUUUGAAAGGAUGUGACACAUUCCCUGGGGCACCUAUGCCACUCCGGCUCCUCUGAUGUGGUCUUCUCCUUCUCCAUCUAUCCCCACAGAGCAGCAGCGUAGGCACCAGCAAGGCCUCGGGAUAUCACUCCAUAAAUUCUCUUUUCAUUGGAGGCCUAGCAGAUAAUAAUUUAAAGAACUAGUCACUGCUUGCAAUUAAGCACAGAGAAAAUAGAUCAGGCCCAUAAUUUAUGUCUGUGCAAGGUUGGGCUAGAUUCGUAAUUAAUGUUUGCUCCCUUUAAUGAAAUACUCCAAAGGUCUGCACUUCUGUCAUUCAUGAAGGUAAUUUUUCAAUUGAUUAGUAAAAUAAUACUUGAAAAGUAAAUGCACCUGCUUCUUCCCCGAAAUGUCUCAGUCAACCGGACACACUGGCUGGGAUGCUAAAAAAAUACCACUCCAAUCCAGUGGAGACCCAGCCCUGCACCAUCAGCAUGCAGACGGCCUGAGCAGGAGGCAGGAGGAAAAAGUAAUUAGAGCAGCUACAGUGACCAGAAUUCCUGGGUGGCCCGGGGCUGCUGAGCAGCUGCGGCCGCCCUGCCUAGUUCCUGCUCGAGAUGAAGGGGUCAGGCGGUAAUGUGAAGGGCCAGGGGCAAACUCAGCCAGAGAGCCAAGCGUUUUGGUCUUUACAGCCCAGAUCUGCUGGGACACCAGCCGGGCUGGGAUGGGCCUCAUUAGGGGGAUGACGUACCAGAAGACAAGUAGGUCACAGUUGGGAGGGUGCUGUGGUCAGCUGGGAUGUGGGCUGGCUAGGGUUAGGCACAGAGAGGCUGUUCCCAAAUAUCUUUGUUGCCCAAGGGCAACAGGUUCCUGUUGAAAGCUAUUUAACAUGGAAGCCAGCAUUUCUUAGUCGUCAGUAGAUAAAUAAUUGAGGCCUUAUCUUGAAAACUGAAAGUAAAACUUAGAAAAAUUUCAUUUUAUGUUCUAUGAAAUAAAAUAUAGGCAAUAAAUGUAAUACAGUAGUGUUAAUUCUUAGAAUAAAGAAAACUAUCGAUUUGGGGUUUAUUUUUUAAAUCAAAACUAUUUCACCGCAAUAUAUAUCAUCCUUCCCCUCAUGAUAGAUUUUCACACAGUUAUAUAGAGGGAGAUUUGGGGAAAACUAUUCAAAGGCUGCAUCAGUUUUCCAAAAUCCAAUCUUCACCUGUGACAUUUAAACGACUUGGCAAUCAAUUAUUGAAUAUGGAAUAUUGAAUCCCUUUGCCUAUUGCUGUUCCCAACAAUGGUUUUCUUCCUCUACCAGGCCAUCAUUGGCCAGUGGCUUGGUGUGGGAGCCCAGGAUUCUUCAACACAAUAAAUGGGUAUCAAUCGAGAUGAGAGGAGAGGGCUGUUUGUUUGAGGAGGACCCGUUUGACAAGGGGUCGGUUUGGUAAUGAACGUCUCUGUAUCUUCUAGCAAUGCCCACUUACCUAUGCAACCUCAUGACAGAGGGGCCCGGGCUGGCAAACAGUCAAGUGCCCUUGAACCUGUUUCCUGCACUUAAUGCACAUGGUUGCUCAGAUUGAACCUUAAAGGAAAGCGUAUCACUUAGAACCCCAGUUGCAAUCAACAGAAAUGGACUGGCUGAUUUAAACAGAGAGAGAAUUUUUAAAAAUAUGUUGAAAGCAUCCCAGACUGCUCGGGAGGGCUGGGGAAGGAAGUGUGUGCAAGGAGCCAGAGCGAAGGUCUCCCCAGUUCAGUAGGGUAGUCCCUGCUGCCACCACAAAAUACCAGCUGCCACAGCUGGAUCCAGGCUCUGACCACCCAGGACUGCGGGCGCUGCUGAAGCAGUCCAUUCUGCUUCUAUUUGGCACGCUUCCUGGUAAAUUUGUGGCAGAUGCAGGUCAUUGGUCAAGACCAGGUUAUAAGCCUCUGCCUCCUGCAAGCAGGGCAGGAAAGUGUCAGCCACUCAGGUGGGUGAUGGACUCUGUCCCCCAAGGGUCACAUGGAGUGGCAUCUCCUAGCAUAUGAAGAGGGCUAUGGCUGGGGAUCCCCCAGAAAGAGAGAAAUAUUAAUAAUGAUGAUGAUUGUUCACUAUUAAUAUUUUGCCUUGGCCUCCACUGAUGGGAUACACUUAAAUCAUGUCCUAACUUCCCUUUCCUCUAACAUUUAUAGAGCACCUGCUUUCUCACAUAUGUUUUGCCAUUCGAUCUUCCCUGAUGAAACAGGACUAUGAUCCCAAUUUCCAGGCGAGGAGACUGAGGCUCCGAGAGAUAAAAGGACUUGCCCAAAAUCACACAGGUUAAAAGCACCUAAGUCAGGGUUUGCUUUUCUUUUUUUUCAUUCUAGUGCUAUGACUCCAAAAGACACACUUGAAGAAGGGUCCCUGGAAGGGUGGGGUGAGUUCUCAUCUCAUGCCUGAUCUUGUUUUUGCUGGAGGAGGAUCCAGGAUGCUGAAUGCCUGUCAAGCUUCUCAUGCUUCUAAUUCAUGGUUGAUUUCCUGGCACCUAGCACAAGGUCAGGCACAUAGCAUGAGCACAGUAAACAAUCUUCCCAUUUUUUAGACCACAGUGAAAAACAAUCGUUCUAGUGCUAUGGUGAUGAUUGUUCACUAUUAAUAUUUCACCCUGGCUGAGAAUGAAAAAAACCUGAAUUUUAGUCCUACGUGGGUCUACCACCAACUUUGUCCAAGUCUCUGACCCACGUUGACCCUCCUCUUCCUCCUCUCUAAGACGGAAAGGACUGUUACAGCAGAGGUUGCAACUGGUAGACUUUUGCUCUGGAUUUGACCACAGAGAAGUUCUGUUAGUCCUCGUGGUGUGAGCCUCUACUUCUGCCUGAUCUCUGUAGCCCUGAGGCCCCUUUUUAACAGAGAACCAGGCCUAUUGCUUAUCUGAUGUCUCUCGAACAUGGGAAAACCAAAGAUGGGCCCAAAGGGUGGCAUGUUACAAGAGAAAUGAGAUUUUUGUUUAUUUGCCUAAUAACCUCACUCAUCUUGACAUCACCUGUCCAGACCCUUUGGACACUUGAGGCCUCGCCCCUGCAGGUACUGAUCUUAGGAGAUGACCAACCAGAGCCUACCACCUGCAACUCUCUCCGCCUCUUCACUGUCCAGUACGGGAGCCACUAGUUUAACUCACUAACUGAAUUAAAUUGAAAUACAAUUAAAAUUUUGGCUCCUUAGUCACACUAGCCAAAUUUCAAGUACUCAACAACCCCUGGUGGCUAGCGGGCACCCUGUCCACAGCACAGUAUGAGAGACCAUGUACAGCAUCCCAGAAAGUUCUCUCGGACAGCACUGCUCUAAAUUCCCCCCAUGGACCCUGCUGGCCCCACCACAGUGCCCAACCGUCCCUUUCAAGCAAACACCUGGCCUGUUGCAGGCUCUGUGGCUGCCAGGGCACAGUGACCCAGCCCUCCCUCCUCCUCUGCUCCAUCGACUUCCGCCUCCUUUCACCGAGAGCCCAAUCUAUAUUUGCAGCUCCUUUUCUUCAUGCGAACAAUGAGGAGCAGCCCUGGGAAAUGGUUGGAUCACUUUCUCCAGCACCUCCUUUAGGUUCCCUUAAUAGGGAAAUGCUUGAUUAUUUCAAAUGAAUGUAAUUACAAAAUCCUCUACUUAGAGUAAUGCUUCUCCUUUGUGGGUGCAGACAUCUCCUUUCUUUCAUUAUCUCCUCUUUGAGAGGCACUUCGCAGCUUUGAAAAGUGCAAUUCUAUGGUCCCCGCAGGACGAGCUCACCUCACUCUGCUGUGGGGCAGAGCGACUUUGGAACAAUGCAUGGGACCCAGGUCUGCAGUGCCAAGCCUCUUUCUCUGGGUGGGUGUGAGGCUGCAGAAAGUCUCUCAUCUGGAGGGCGAGCACUGGCCCCAUGGCACCCGGGGGCAUUCUCACCCGUGUUCUGACCCACCCUAAGGUUGCAACCUGCCCCUCCCUAUCUAGACAAAGACAUGCCCGGCCACUGCCCCUGCUACCUCACUUAGCAGUCUCCUCUCUCUCCUCCGCACCUCCACCAUGGCCCUGCACCUCCUACUGGAGGAGCCAACCCUCUUAUCCAAGUCUGCAGACUAGUAGCAUCCAAUGUCCUUGAUUAUAUUGUUAUAGAGACAGCACAGGGUAUGGGGUCAGAUUGACUGGAGUUUGAAUCCUGACUCUAACACUGUGUCAUCUUUGGCAAGCUAAUCACAUUUUGGAGACUUGAUUUCUCCAACUCUAAAAUGGGGUUCUAUCCACAGUACCUAGUGAAACCUCCAUGUUCAUAGAGUGAGACUUCAGCCCUGAUCCUAAGGGAUUGGUCCCGCAAUGGGCACUGCUUCCUUUUUUCUCCCGGAUGUUUGGACCCAGAAUGAAAGAGUUUCAUGCAGUUGUGAGAUGUCCCCAUUGUCUGCAGCCAUGUUUUCACUGGGUGCAGAAGGCUGGCCAGGAAGGAAUGAGCAUGAAAGAUGCUGAUGCACACAGAGAAGCUGGUUGUCAGCCCAUGAGGGCAAGGGCCACCACUCCUGUCUACUCAGAUCCUGGUAAGUGCCCAGCACAUAGAAGGCACCCAGCAGGUGCUGGUUGCAUUGCUGAAUGAAUGGGGGACAGAGUUUGAGCCCCUGGUCUCAUUGUCCUGAGGCCCAGAUGUAUCUCCGUCCUUUUAUGCACUUGACUGUCCAGCCCUUCUCGGAUUCAGCCUCUCUGCGCUUCUGGUAGUUGGACUUUGGUUUCUGCCAAUUGCAAUCUAUACAGCUCCGAUAUUGCAGCUAGGUGAAUACCCACCCUGUUCCACAUCAUGCCAGCAAAUAUGCACCAGGCGAGGCAGGGCUUAUGAGCACCAGGUUCACCCUCUCCCUUCUCAUUUUAAAGAAAACAAAAAUGAUGCAAGGACUUGCCAGCUGUUGUAGACUGAUGGAACACCAAGGAAAGGUAAGGCUCACACUGCACCAGCCUCCUGAGGAAAGCCCCUGUUCACAUUUGACAUCGUUCCCUUUUCUCUGCUCACACCAAAGGCAAUUUCUUUCUGAACAGCGGCAUUCUCUCCCGCAAGCCAGAGAAAACUUCCUCUGGAGAAGACAUGAGUUCCAGGCAGACACAGGCUCUGCAUCCCAUGUUCAAGUACACAACUGAGCAAAGAGGAUUCACCUCUACCCUUCCCCUUCACCUGCUUCCAGCAGCAAUAGAGCCUCCCUCUUCCACAGUCUACAUGCUAAGAGGGACACCUUCAAAUCUAAGGACGUAGACCUGCAUGUUUGCAGAGGUGUAGACAGAAAGGCUCAGCUGUCAGAGGCCAGGUACCAAACACAUAGACAAACGUUCCCUAACUUCAUGCCUCUUUUCCAGACAACUUCCAGAGUAACUCUCCCUAGCCAUUCCCACCUCCCUUCCAUGCAGAACCCUGUAUAGAUCUCACACCUGACUGCAGGCCUGAAGAACAUUUAUUGACACCACGACAUAGAUCAUGGCUUGAGCUCCAAGACCAAUUUUGCUGUAUGAAUCCGCGGCAGCGUGAUUUAGAGACAGAUCCGACUGCAGGUUUUGACUCUGGAGUUUGGUGCCAUCACCCAUUGGCUGUCGAGCUGCUAGUCCUGACCCUGACCCAACCCCUGCGUGCAAGGCUCUGUAAGGGAGAGGAAUGGAGAGGACCCUGGCCCCAAGUGAGCCCAGCCACGUGAUGGGCUGUGUGUGAGGCAUGGACACAUGAGGAGCCCCAAGAAGGCCAGCAUCAUCGUGACUGGAGGAUCAAGGAAGGCUUCCUGGAGGAAUGGUCGUUUAUCCAGGUAAGGAAUGAGGAGAAUUAGGAUAUUCAUGGAUGAGCUGGGGUUGGAAGGAAGAGACAAAAAGUGGACCCCAGGCAAAAGGAACACCAUGAACAAAAUGCAAUAAAUUAUCUUCCUUAGGGAGACACACACCUAGGAAUGAGAGAAAGUCUCUUGACUAUGGUCUUUCUUGUCAGCAAACUGGGACCAGCUACCCAAGAGGGAUAAUAAAUUGUCAUUCUUUCAUUCACUUAUUCAGCAUAUAGUUAUUGCGCCUGGUGACUCCGAACUUGAAACAGUUGAAAUAGACAUUGAAAACCACAUUCAGAACCAUUUUGUGCUUGGUCCAGAGGAUACAGAGAAAAUGUUUGCAGAUCCCUGGCCUGGAAAGACACCAGAGAAGAGAUUCCUCUCUAGAAAGGGGCAAAUAUGUUUACGAUCACUAGAAGGAAUGAAAUGUUCCUCUGUUUUAAGAGGAAAUCAACAAAAUAACAAACAAUAUUUCGUUUAAAAAAAAAAGAUAUCCUCAUCAAUUUUCUGAUAAGUGUUAUGGGUGCAGAGAAGAACUGAGGGUCCUUCCCAUUCCCUCCCAUGUCUCUGCAACUUUCCCCCUGCUGUCUCCCAGCUCCUGGAAAUCCAAUUCCCUAGUUAUGGCUGUGCUUAUUAAAAGCAUGACUGUGGAGGCUGUUUACCCCUGGAUCUAUUUUUGUCAUAACUGUUUGUAAUGGUUAAACCUCAACAACUUAAACACUCCAUACAAAAUAAUGUAUCUUCAAUAAACUGAAAUAUUAA